UUGCAUCCACAGCAGGGGUUGGUUGAGAAGGUUUGGAAUCUUGAGUGAAGAGGAGAUUCCAAGGAGAGGCAGUUGAUCUCUCUAUCUUGAGAGAGCAAAGGUGAUGGUAUGAUCAGAGAUUGGCUCCUGAGCUAUUCAAAAUCCCUCAUUGAACGUAAUUUGCCAUUUCCCCCCAAAGAUACCAGGAAGUGUGGCAGAAACCUGAGAAGAAUAAGAAACAGCAUAACAAGAUUUCACACAGCUCCUGUGACACCCUGGGUCUGGACAUUGGCACUGCUGUGACAAAGACCGGGGGUCACAAACCUGAACCUCUCAAAGACCAGAGCUUUUAGAAGAAUCUUAUGAAGAAAUGAAAGAAAAACAGAAGAGAAGAGGAGAAAGGAAAAAGAAAGAAAUAGAUUUGUAUCCAAGUGUAUUGCUACUAGAAGAAAAGGAAUGGCACAUCCCAAGCGGACAAACACAGUCACAUGGCCUCAGUCAUCUACUUCAAUCUAUACAUGAAAGGAAUACCAACUAGACUCUACCAAACAGAAAUUGAAGAGGAAAGUGAAGAAAUGCACCAAAGCAGAGCCUUAUCUCUCUACUGCCCUCCAUUUUUUCAAGUUAAAACUAAUGAUGUUGAGGUCUGUGACUGCAGAUGUGGGCAAAAAGCAGGAUGCUGCCAGGAAGUAAGUCAAGUAAAGAGAAGCAAGAUAUUCUGGAUAAGACUAUCUUUAAUUUUGUCAAAAUUUGACCAACUGGUCAACCAAAGAGAAUCAGCACAAAAUGGCUACAUAUGCUCCAAAGUCUAUGGGACUAUUGCAAUAGCUAAAUAUCCUGUGAAGCCUCAAGAAUACUGGUCUCUUCACCAUUAUAUCAAUAUAAUACAACCUGUGGAAUUUUGAAUACCAGAUUUUGGAUGCCAACUCUCUCAAUUUAUCCAAAACUAUGCCUUUUCAUAAUAUUCUUACCACUACUGAUAGAUAAUAAUAUAUUCUGCUCUCCAGAUGUGUAUAUGUAACCUCCCUAUAGAUAUAGAAAAAUAGUCUCAGAAUAAAGAACAAAAACACUGAAUACUUAUCUAUUAA
rnacentral:lncRNA from 1 species